GGCUGCACCCACAGCAUAUGGAGGUUCCCAUGCUAGGGGUCGAUGGGAGCUGUAGCCACUGGCCAAUACCACAGCCACAGCAACACAGGAUACAAGCCAGUCUGCAACCUACACCACAGCUCAUGGCCACCAAUGCUGAAUCCUUAACCCACUUAGCGAGACCAGGGGUCAAACACACGUCCUCAUGGAUUCUAGUCAGGUUCAUUACUGCUGAGCCACAAGGAUUCCCCUUUUUUCUUUUAGAGGUUUUUCUAUUAUUUGUCUUCCUCUGAUUGAGUUAAGUUACCUUAGCCUUCCUCUUGGAUAUGUUCUUCCUUUUUCCCCCAAAAAAGCUUCCCUCCUCUCUAUCCUCCAACACCAAACCAGCAAACUGUUCUUCAUCCAGUCAGUCUUCCUAAUAAAUACUUUCAUAAUGCCCCAAAAGAGAUUUGGGUGCCUCUUCUCUCGGUUAUUUUUUGCUUAUACUGCCCCCACCCCUGCCAAAGCAUUUUCUAGGUUGUUAAUUGUUGAUUCUCAAAAUGUAGUACAUUGCAAUGCACAGUACUCACUAAAUUCUAAAUUCUUCAAGAACAGAGGUUCUGCCUUACUUGUCUUUGUAAUUCCAGCGCCUAAUAAAUAGUAAGCAAUCAAUAAAUAACUUCUUAAAUAAAUGACUUUUUUAAAGGCUUAUCAGGUGCCACAAUACAGUUAGCAUUUAUGGUGUCCUACCAAGACUUUCUUAUGGACCAGGCACUGUGCCAACAACUUGGCACACAUUCUCUCUGAAUCUUCCUAAAAACCCUGUGAAGUAGGUAGAGUUAAUAACCACCUUUUAUAAAAGGGUAAAGUGAUUUUUAGAGAUACUAAGUAUUUCAGAAUUUGAACUCAAAGUUUGACCUCCAAAGUUUAUGCUCCUAUGCAUUUUAUACUUCAAAGGGAAAGGAUAACAAAUAAAUUGAUGUAAUAGGAUUGUUUCAAGAGAGCAUAUUUAAAUAUUUAAGUUAGGUGUUAUCUACGGUAUCGUAGUGAAGGCUGCUUUGUAAGGCUUCCUAAAAUAUAUAAGCAUAUGCAUGAAAUCUUACAAUCAAGGGUUUUCCUACUUUUGCUGCUUUUGUUCCUCAUGCCUUAGUACAUGCUGUUCUCAAUCUAUCAAGCUCUUACCAACUUAUCCAUCUGUAGAAUUCCAAUCCAUACUUUAAAACUUUGCUAGGGCAUCCCUUUAAACUGGAGGAUUUCUGCCUGGAGAGAUUCACAUCGUAAGUGGUUACUAUUCCUCACAAUUAAUUUAUUAAUGUAUAUUCAUAGAUGAUAUUAUAUUUAUUUACUUACAUGUCUAUCUUCCCUGUUCACUUUGAAUGUUUUCAAAGGCAGAGUCCUUUUCUUCCUCAUCUUCAUACUCCUAGUACUUGUAUAGCAAAAAGCCACAUAUAUAUCAAGUUAUUUAGUAAAAAUAUUGGCUUAUCGAAUUUCUAUGCCUCCCAGUUGGGUUUUCAGUAGAUUUUGAGGUAUUACCUUACCCUAACAGUGGCCAACCAGGCUGUGAAAAAUAUCCAGACUUGCCACUGCCCAUGUUCCUUCCUUCUCAAUGCUUUCCCUUUCUCCACACAUUUCUCCAUACCAUUCCUUUUGGUUGCAAAGCCCUUAUUUCAACCCAGGCUUGCCUCUGCCAAGCCUAUAUUCUGAAUGACCACAAUAUACCUUUGAUGUGCAUCUACUAUGGCUUGGGCUAGAUUUGAAAACACAAACAAGGCAAGCACUUCAUAACCUUGAGGGUAGAUAGACACUAAAAGUAGAGAUAAUCACCUUAUAUGAUGAUAAAAGAUAGAUGUACGUGCCAUUAACUAAGAUGGAGCAAAUUAAUUCUGCUUGAGGAGGAUUAGGAUGAUAUGAUAGAAAGUUACAUCUGAAUCAGGACUUGUACCAGGUUCUUUCGGGUUGUGGGGGCGAUGAAAAGGCAAGGCAAGAGGCAUUAUAUACAAGAUAGCACUUGUGUAAAGGCAAGACCUGAAGAAGUACAAUACAAUCUUGAAGAGGAAGCAGUUGGAUGAGCUUCAACACAAUAUAUAAGGGUCUUGAGAGAGUAAUGAGAGAUGAGGCUGGAGGUCCAAGUUGAAGUAAAAGAGUAAAGAUAAAAGGCUCAUGUGCCAGACUGAAUAUUUUAUACAAGCCAAAAUGAAAAGGCACCCCUUAAGGUUUUUAAUCAAGGUCAUGACAUAACUAGAUUUAUGUUUGGGAAAUAACUUCAGCAAAAGAUAGAAUAUGGACUAAAGGAGAGAAAGCUAGAGGUAGUUUUUUUGUUGUUUUUUUUUUGUUUUUUUUUUUUUUCUUUUUAGAGCUGAACCAUGGCAUAUGGAAGUUCUCAAGCUAGGGGUCAAAUCGGAGCUACAGCUGCCUGCCUACACCAAGAAAUGAGCUAAGGAAGCAGCAACAGGCCUAACAUGAAAAAAAACUGAAAAGAUUUAUGGAUUAAAAAGGAGGCAGAUUCUAUAGGAUCUUGUGACUGGUUGACUAUAGAGGAAAAGGAAGAGGUGGCAGAGGACUCCUGCAUUUCUAACUUGGGAAACGGGGGUGACCAGGGAUGACACCAUCAAAGACAGUGGAAGAUAUUAAAAGUUUAAUUACAUAAAUGCUGAUUCUGAAGAACCACCAGGACAUACUGUUAACCAGUUACUCUAGGACUUAGUCAUAUGUUGUCAAAUUAACUUCAUGUGUUUAUGUAAGACUUCUCAACCAAUGAUGAAAUCUUGAAGAUCUUUUAUUUUUUUCCCAGCAUCACCAGUAUAUAGAAAGGCUUCAUUAAAACAACAAACCCUU
rnacentral:lncRNA from 1 species